ACAAUUUAAGGUGGUUCAUUUUUGGAGUGGAUUUAGAUCUAACACUGGCUGGGCAUUCUGCUGCUUUCCAGGGCAAAACCACAUUCAGGUGCCCUGCCCUUAAUGAUGGAAACACAUCAUGUGAUGCAGAGCUGCCCUAUCAUGUGGUGCGCAAGUUCGCCCUGCUGACCCCUGAGGAGCAAUGCUACUUUGAAGAGACUCUCGGAGAUAUGGCUUGCACAGGCUAUAGCACUUGUCCAGGCUGCAAGAUAUUUGUAGAAAGAGAAGACACCCGCAAUUUGAGUGUGGAAUGCAGGAUUUGCACCAGCAGGAUGGGAAGAACGUAUGAGUUUUGCUGGCAGUGCUUAAAGGAGUGGAAAGGGAAGAGACCCCGUGCUAAUCGAUGUGACAACGAUGGCUGUAUUGACAAGCGCCUUGAUCUCAUACGGACAUGCAAAUAUAUUUUCUUUGAGAGUAUAAAAGAGGUGCGGGACUGUCCCUCUGUGCGGGCCUGUCCCACUUGUGGCAAACUGAUAGAACACAACGGGGAAAUGUGUAAAAACAUAAUUUGUGACGGAUGCCAUGUUGAGUUCUGUUUUGUCUGCCUGAGGCUCACUGCUGAUUGUGCAAAGAAAGACAGCAACUACUAUGGCCGCUGCUCAGUUGGCACGGCACCAAGGCAGACAUCCAUACCUGUCUGGAAGCGCUAGCUGAGUUCUCUGAAUCAACAAUAGUGAUGUUUGUGAGGGGAGAGACAUUUAGAGGAACAUCCUGAUUGUUCAAUGCAUGUAACGUGACAUUUUUUUAAUUCUGAAAACUGCUUGUACAGGAACAGAAAAUGUAUCUAAAAAAAUAUAUAGCAUGUAUUACCAAAAGUAUCUAUCUGGCAAUCGGUGUAAUCAAAAUAAGUAUAUCUAUAAUGGAAUUAAUGUCACAUAAUUAUGUGUCAGUAAAUAAAUAAACUUCAGUGUAAACUUGUUUC